rnacentral:rRNA from 1 species
GGNUGGCGCUGCUACCAUGCAGUCGAACGGUGAACACGGAGCUUGCUCUGUGGGAUCAGUGGCGAACGGGUGAGUAACACGUGAGCAACCUGCCCCUGACUCUGGGAUAAGCGCUGGAAACGGCGUCUAAUACUGGAUACGAGUAGCGGCCGCAUGGUCAGUUACUGGAAAGAUUUUUUGGUUGGGGAUGGGCUCGCGGCCUAUCAGCUUGUUGGUGAGGUAAUGGCUCACCAAGGCGUCGACGGGUAGCCGGCCUGAGAGGGUGACCGGCCACACUGGGACUGAGACACGGCCCAGACUCCUACGGGAGGCAGCAGUGGGGAAUAUUGCACAAUGGGCGAAAGCCUGAUGCAGCAACGCCGCGUGAGGGAUGACGGCCUUCGGGUUGUAAACCUCUUUUAGCAGGGAAGAAGCGAAAGUGACGGUACCUGCAGAAAAAGCGCCGGCUAACUACGUGCCAGCAGCCGCGGUAAUACGUAGGGCGCAAGCGUUAUCCGGAAUUAUUGGGCGUAAAGAGCUCGUAGGCGGUUUGUCGCGUCUGCUGUGAAAUCCCGAGGCUCAACCUCGGGCCUGCAGUGGGUACGGGCAGACUAGAGUGCGGUAGGGGAGAUUGGAAUUCCUGGUGUAGCGGUGGAAUGCGCAGAUAUCAGGAGGAACACCGAUGGCGAAGGCAGAUCUCUGGGCCGUAACUGACGCUGAGGAGCGAAAGGGUGGGGAGCAAACAGGCUUAGAUACCCUGGUAGUCCACCCCGUAAACGUUGGGAACUAGUUGUGGGGUCCAUUCCACGGAUUCCGUGACGCAGCUAACGCAUUAAGUUCCCCGCCUGGGGAGUACGGCCGCAAGGCUAAAACUCAAAGGAAUUGACGGGGACCCGCACAAGCGGCGGACAUGCGGAUUAAUUCAUGCAACGCGAAGAACCUUACCAAGGCUUGACAUAUACAGAACGGGCCGGAAUGGUCAACUCUUUGGAACACUCGUAAACGGGCGCGCAUGGUUGUCGUUCAGCUUUGUCCCGAGAUGUGGGUUACUCCGCAACCACCACACCCUCAUCUUCUUUUCAUGAC